GAGGCAAAGGUUGUGAUUAAAGAGGCAAGUCCAUUCUUCUGGGUUUACCCUCACCCAUGUCACCAUCACUCACUGCUCAGAGAAUAGACUAGAAUGCGCUGAACGCUGUUUGUGAUGCAAGCACCCCCAUAGCUGCUUCUGUUGUCUGGGACUGCGCAGACAAUUGGACCGGACAGGAGUGGAGCACAGAAUAGACACCCAUCCCCCGAAUGGCAAUGGUGUUGGCAAAUGUGAGCUUCUCUAGGUCUGUUAACAUCGAAAACACCUGGGAUAAAUGAAUUUUAUAGUUUUCACCUUGGUACAUAGCCAUUAUGUAAGCUCCUAAUGCAUCUCGGACAUCCACGUGCUAUUAUACACAAGGGGACAGUCUGGAAGAACACACCCUGUUCACAGCACCGCUAUUAAACAGAACUACAUCCCUCUACCUUAAAAAGAACACUUCAGAGCAGCCUGAAAACCCUGAAAAGACUCUGUUUUCUCAAAACCAUUGAGUCUAAGCCUUGUGUGCUAGUUAAAUAUCGAUAAUGGCAGGCGGUCAGGCAACAGUGGGCAGGCUGGGCCCUUCUGACACACCAGGGGAGUUACCAUGAAAUUGCAGGAAGGUGGAGAUGAAAAUGACUUAAAGAUUGCAGCAGAUUCUGCCAGGUCUGCUCCAGAAAUCUACUUCUGCAUCUUGGGAAGCCCAUCUUAACUGCAUUUCUUAGCUUUCCUUGGAGUUAGUAUGGCCAUGUGAUGGAGUUCUACCAAGAACAUGAGCAGGAGCGAUGUGGACCAUUUUGGAGCCAUGGCCUUUCAGCAACAUGUUCGCCCUUGCCAUGCUCUCUCUGCCCAUCUGGUAGACCAGAAGUAAAUGACAACAAGCAUGGAGUGGGCAGCAGAGUCAGAAAAUGGAAGCUGCCUGGUUCUCUGAAUCACCAUGUGAGAAAAGCUGCCCACCGACUAAGAAUGCCUGCUUUGGGCUGUUACAUGAACAAAAACUAAAUAUGUAUUGUGUCUGAGCCACUGCACAUUUUUAGGGUUUAUCUGUCACAAAUGGAGUCCAAUCCCAUAGACAGUGGCAUAACCAGGUCAAGAAACAGGUAUGAGGCUUCUCAUAUACUAAAGAGAUUUACAAAACAGAUGACUGUGACUGACACGGAAACUCCACAGCACAACUUGUGAAUUCUUCCAAGGUGCUACCUGCUGCUGUGCCUGGAGCCCAGGGCCAGCCUCCCUCAGUCCAGGGUUACCGCAUAGCAUUUGUGGAAGUGAGAUCUAAAGAAUAAGUAAAAGAAUGAUUCAGCAGAUUAUAAA